ACCACUGACCUAAGAAGCUAAGAGCGUGCCUCGGAGGGUGGUGGGGAUCGUGAAAUAACGAUAAUGUGGCAGCCAAGGCGGCGGCAGUUCUGUUAUCAUUUGUAAUGACACCACGAGGCUGUGUUAGCUCGAGCCAUUAACGAGAUCGAUCAUCAUACCCUGUAUCCUUGCUCCGAUAUGACCUCGGGUCAAUGCAAUUUUUCCAAUCCACCUGGUUCUGACUGACCGUGGACAUUGAACGAUAAAAGAGCACCCGCAUGACCCAGAAUCGACAAGUGGAAACACGGAAGUGGGUAUAUAGAGAUGGAACAUUUGACUGUAUUGACAGGGCCCGUGACUUUCAACCCUCGGUGCAUGAAUUAUGAAGGAUAUCGUGAAACAGCGGAAAUCGCAGAGAGUGUCUCACUUUUUUGUGGACUUUUUCAUUCUAAAUAUUAUAUUUUCAUGCUCGGAAGUGAGUCGAUAGCCAAAUACUUCGGACUAUAAAAGACCAAUCGAGUUCUUACGUAAUAGAGGACUAAAACAGUGAAUCGUACGCAGUAAUUAAAGGACGAAGAUAUUUUGGUGAUCCAACGAGCGAAAAAAGACUGAUCAGCAAACCGUUUUGUGCGGUGGAGUUGCAAUGAAAAAGCCUGCAUUCUGUUUUCGAUCGGCAUAUAAAUUCAAUUUGGCAUAUGUAAAUAAUUUUUGAGAAAAAAAAUGUGUCGCAGUUGGGAGCAAUGUCAACAGGAAAAUUCAUGAAAAAUAUUGUGAUUGUGAAAGGUUAAAAAAUAUUAAAAUGCCGGAAUGAUUGUUUGCAAAAUCCAA